UACGGAGGGUGCGAGCGUUAAUCGGAAUUACUGGGCGUAAAGCGCACGUCGGCGGUUUGGUAAGUCGGAUGUGAAAGCCCUGGGCUUAACCUAGGAAUUGCAUUCGAUACUGCCUGACUAGAGUAUGGUAGAGGGAAGUGGAAUUUCCGGUGUAGCGGUGAAAUGCGUAGAUAUCGGAAGGAACACCAGUGGCGAAGGCGACUUCCUGGGCCAAUACUGACGCUGAGGUGCGAAAGCGUGGGGAGCAAAUAGG
rnacentral:rRNA from 1 species